rnacentral:lncRNA from 1 species
CCUAAACCUCAGGCUACUGUUUCCCCAGAUGGCAUAGGUCUGGGGUCGGGGGCACCAAGGCCGACUUGCCCCUCUCUCUCCUGGGUGCCUGAUUGCUGGGGCCCCAGCAGCUACCCCUCCUCAACAUAAGCCUCUAUCACAUCACAAUCGGAUGCCCGAGCAAUGCUCCCAGUGCCAGGGUAGCAGGUGCCCUGACCUGUCCUUGCUGGCUCCCCGUCCUCCAAAUAGGUUACCCCAGGGAUGGAGAAAAGUCAUGAAGUGCUGUCCCUGGUACUCCCCAGAUGCCAUCUAGGCCCACUCUCGUGGUUAAUGCCCCCACUAGACCGGGAGCCCCAAGUCGGCAGGGUCCCAGACUGUCCUUUGUGUUAACAAAGCCUGGUACAUGGUAGGUGCUCAAGAAACCGAUAUGGAAUGAAUGGACGAAGAAGCUCCAUGAAGCAGGAUCUAGCUACAAGCCACCAGGUCCCCCAAGCCUCUGCCUCUGCAUGAGCUCACUUGACUCAUCCUCAGCUUUCUCACAAGGCUCAGAGGCUCAGGACCUCUGCAUUCUUGUAAGAGUUUUCUCAUCGUCUCAGUGGAUGCUCCUUGCUGAGUCUGGUGGGGAUAUCAGAAACCACGAUCUCCUCUCUGACCACAGGAGUAAGAGAGAAUUUGCACAAACAAAAAACAGCUCUGGCCCGAAACUUAGCCAUGAUCUCAGGGGUCAUGGAAAACAAUCCCACCCAGCAUUGGAAUUCCCUCUGCAGGCUGCAUGCCAACUGUUUUUCUGUCGUUCUCUCUUAAAAGAUCUGAGAGUUGGUGUGUACAUUUCUUGGAGUCCUUACUCUCUGCUGACGUUUAACAAAUGGUUGGGGAUCUCCCCUUCCACCUUUGGGGAUACAUGCUCUUGUUCUUCCCAUUUUAUAGUUGACCAUCCGGAGGCCCAGAAGGGGUAGCCUUGUGUUCCAGGCCACGCUGGUGAGGUUUGAAGGCUGUCUUCUGAGUCCAAAGUCAGGGCUUCUUCAUGAUGGGUGGCAUCAUGCUAAGUCAUUCAACUUUUCAUUCAAUGAGCAUCCAUUGAGUGCCCAGUGCAUGCCAACCGCUGCCCGACAGCAAACAGUCUCUGUCUCUCCCAUCACAAACUGAGAUUCUUGAGGGAUCCAGAUGUGCAAACAGACAAUGACAAUAUUGGAGCUGGCUCUUUUUCUGAGAACAUGGGAUGACGGGGAUCUCACUAUCUGACAAAGCAACUUGGUAAUCAUUGGUGGAUGCCACUCUGAACCCCUUAUUCCUUUUUUCUUUUUUUAAUUUUUAUUUAUUUAUGAUAGUCAUACAGAGAGAGAGAGAGAGAGAGGCAGAGACACAGGCAGAGGGAGAAGCAGGCUCCAUGCACCGGGAGCCUGAUGUGGGAUUUGAUCCCGGGUCUCCAGGAUCGCGCCCUGGGCCAAAGGCAGGCGCCAAACCGCUGCGCCACCCAGGGAUCCCUGAACCCCUUAUUCCUUGAGCCAGAAAGUGCGCAGGUGUCUAUGAGCCAAAGGGGACUCUGACCCUGAAGCUGCCCCAUUUGGAUGUCUGGCCUUACAUCUGGAUUGUUGUCUCCUCCUCUCAGGCUGGGCUUCUGGAGUCUGCCCGGGGUGGCCUCUGACCCUUCAUCCUCAUCCCUCGGGGCAUCACCUGACACCUUUAUGUGUUUAAUAUGGACAGAUGUAGAAGUUGGCACCAAUGCUUAGCUUCUAUUAUUAAAAAUCAAAAUAAGGGGCGCCUGGGUGGCUCAGUCGGUUAAGUGUCCAACUCUCGAUUUCGGCUCAGG